CACCAUGGCCAUUGCUGUCAGUGGUCUUGAAAUUUUUGCUCUCUGCAGGCACAGCUGGUACUGUUGAUGCUUCUCAUCUGCUAUGCAAGCUGGCUGGAUGCUGCCAUUUUCAGAGAUGGAAAGAUGAGGAGAACUUUGGUCUUCCUAACUCUGUUCCCCACACCCUGAGGUUGCCCACGGUGAGUAGGUGAAAAGACGACCCCUCCACCACCACCACCACCGCCGCCAUUCCUUUUCGGGGAGUUUUCCAAGCCUCUCUGGAAUGUGGAGAAAAUCUGUGGAAAUAUGUAAGGCAGGACCAGAUUGACCCUCUCCAUGGAGGUGCCAGCCUAAGCAAGACUACAUUAGGGGACAAUUAUUUGUAAGGGAUCAUUCAAGGAAGGAGUUUUGCUGGAGGAGUAAUGGUAGAGAUGCUACCUGCAGAAUCUUGAUGCAAGAAAGACUGGCCGUCUGAAAUCGGGAUGCCAACUUCGCUGAGUUCUGUUGAGAGCCCCCUCCCAGGCUACAGACCGUGGACUUCUAGUAUCCUCAUGUGGUGGAGAACAGGUCAAAGCAUGAAACAAUGCCAUGUGAGGAAGACAGUCUUUAGUUUUCCACAAACAGCUCUGUUAAGGCCAGCCAUAUUACCAAGAAACCACAGUUCCAAGUGGAGAACAUGCUAGGCUAUCUUAUUCAUGCUGAUGUAUGAUCUAAUUUCAAGUUUUUCACUUUGUAAAAGUUCUUGUUUCAAGGAAAGCAAUUCUCCCAGCCUACAUCCUAUUUUUGCCUGUGAAAUGAAUAAAAAAAAAA